AUGCACGCUGGCGGCGUGCCUAAUACCUGCACGUCGAGCGAACAGACGAGGAGCUUGCUCCUCUGACGUUAGCGGCGGACGGGUGAGUAACACGUGGAUAACCUACCUAUAAGACUGGGAUAACUUCGGGAAACCGGAGCUAAUACCGGAUAAUAUAUUGAGCCGCAUGGUUCAAUAGUGAAAGACGGUUUUGCUGUCACUUAUAGAUGGAUCCGCGCCGCAUUAGCUAGUUGGUAAGGUAACGGCUUACCAAGGCAACGAUGCGUAGCCGACCUGAGAGGGUGAUCGGCCACACUGGAACUGAGACACGGUCCAGACUCCUACGGGAGGCAGCAGUAGGGAAUCUUCCGCAAUGGGCGAAAGCCUGACGGAGCAACGCCGCGUGAGUGAUGAAGGUCUUCGGAUCGUAAAACUCUGUUAUUAGGGAAGAACAAAUGUGUAAGUAACUAUGCACGUCUUGACGGUACCUAAUCAGAAAGCCACGGCUAACUACGUG
rnacentral:rRNA from 1 species